GGAACUACUGAAAGGUACUUCUUUCCUGUGGAUUCACGUCGUGUAAAAGAUUUUCGAUUGGGGGACAACUCCAUGCCCUGGAAAGAAUACUCAUCAAAUGAUGAGGACGAAUUCCAUGAUGAGGUCCCAAAUCUUGAGCUGGCUUUAGGGGCUGAGGCAAAAACCCCAAAUAAAGGAAUCCUGCCUUUCUUUGUUGGAAUGGUAGAGAAAAAUAAUAGCCAGAAGAAGACUCCAGAUAAUGUGACAGAUAAGGAAGAGGAGGAUGGUGUCUCUGCUUCCCUUUCCCUUUCUCUUUCAUUCCC
rnacentral:misc_RNA from 1 species